AUGAAAUUGUGAUACUAGAAGUAAUUUGAGGAUAAAAAAAAAUAGUUUAUUAGGGUACGAGAAUUUUAGAAAAGAAUUUGGGAAGUUAAAUGAGGCAUAAAUCUUAAAUUAGUGUUAAUAUGGAUUAUAGAUCUAAGACUUUCUAACUAUUUAAAUUAGAGUUAUUUAUUUUAAUGUAAAAUUAAUAUAUAGUAUUGUGAAAUAAUUAUGUAGAUUAUAUUGACAAAGAUAAUGGUGAAAAAGGAGUUGUGAAGGGGAACUUGUUAUUCAAGACACAAGGAGCGAGUCCGGCCGAGAAAGCACCAGAGGUGUAAUUAUGGUGUAUGAGACACCAUCUUUUACGUUGCCUCUUAUUUUGGAUUAUACAAUGUAUCUUGUGCCAACUUAGGACAUAUCUUCUUUGUGGAGCAUGCAGUAACUCAUCCACAUGAACCAAAAUAAUUAGGUAGGCGUAACAUUUAACGGACCAUCACAAAACUUACUGGAGGACGAUCGUAGUGAGUGAAAUAAACCCAAGAAAACUUUCCAAGCACAGCAAACGAGACAUCCAAUGAGUAGAAAUUUCGAGCCUCAAA